rnacentral:rRNA from 1 species
AGGCAGCAGUGGGGAAUAUUGGACAAUGGGCGCAAGCCUGAUCCAGCAAUACCGCGUGUGUGAAGAAGGCCUUAGGGUUGUAAAGCACUUUCAAUGGGGAGGAAAACCUGCCGGUCAAUACCCGGUAGCUUGACAUUACCUGUAGAAGAAGCACCGGCUAACUCCGUGCCAGCAGCCGCGGUAAUACGGAGGGUGCGAGCGUUAAUCGGAAUUACUGGGCGUAAAGCGUGCGUAGGCGGUUCGUUAAGUCAGAUGUGAAAGCCCCGGGCUCAACCUGGGAACUGCAUUUGAAACUGGCGGACUAGAGUUUAGUAGAGGGGAGUGGAAUUUCAGGUGUAGCGGUGAAAUGCGUAGAUAUCUGAAGGAACACCAGUGGCGAAGGCGACUCCCUGGACUAGAACUGACGCUGAGGUACGAAAGCGUGGGUAGCAAACAGGAUUAGAUACCCUGGUAGUCCACGCCGUAAACGAUGUCAACUAGCCGUUGGGA